rnacentral:rRNA from 1 species
GACGAACGCUGGCGGCGUGCUUAACCCAUGCAAGUCGAACGAUGAAUCCGGAGCCUGCUCUGGUGACUUAGUGGCGAACGGGUGAGUAACACGUGAGAAACCUGCUCUUGACUCUGGGAUAACUGCGGGAAACUGUAGCUAAUACAGGAGACGAUCCCCUGUAGCAUCUCCUGGGGGUGGAUAGUAUUUCGGUCAAGGAUGGACGCUGGGCCUAUGAGCUAGUUGGUGAGGUAAAGGCUCACGAAGGUGGCGACGGGUAGGCGGCCUGAGAGGGUGACCAGGCACACUGGGACUGAGACACGCACCAGACUCGUACGGGAGGCAGCAGUGGGGAAUAUUGCACAAUGGGCGCAAGUCUGAUGCAGCAUCGCCGCGUGAGGGAUGACGGCCUUCGGGUUGAAAACCUCUUUUAGCAGGGAAGAAGCGAAAGUGACGGUACCUGCAGAAAAAGCACCGGCUAACUACGUGCCAGCCGCCGCGGUAA